CCUGGCUCAGGACGAACGCUGGCGGCGUGCCUAAUACAUGCAAGUAGAACGCUGAAGGAAGGAGCUUGCUCUUUCCGGAUGAGUUGCGAACGGGUGAGUAACGCGUAGGUAACCUGCCUGGUAGCGGGGGAUAACUAUUGGAAACGAUAGCUAAUACCGCAUAACAAUGGGUGACUCAUGUCAUUUAUUUGAAAGGGGCAAAUGCUCCACUACAAGAUGGACCUGCGUUGUAUUAGCUAGUUGGUGAGGUAACGGCUCACCAAGGCAACGAUACAUAGCCGACCUGAGAGGGUGAUCGGCCACACUGGGACUGAGACACGGCCCAGACUCCUACGG
rnacentral:rRNA from 1 species